UACGUAGGGGGCAAGCGUUGUCCGGAAUUACUGGGCGUAAAGGGCGCGUAGGCGGCCUUCUAAGUCAGACGUGAAAUCCCCAGGCUUAACUUGGGAACUGCGUCUGAUACUGGGAGGCUUGAGUGCGGGAGAGGGAUGUGGAAUUCCAGGUGUAGCGGUGAAAUGCGUAGAUAUCUGGAGGAACACCGGUGGCGAAGGCGGCAUCCUGGACCGACACUGACGCUGAGGCGCGAAAGCUAGGGGAGCAAACGGG
rnacentral:rRNA from 1 species